rnacentral:rRNA from 1 species
GAUGAACGCUAGCGGCAGGCUUAAUACAUGCAAGUCGAGGGGCAGCACAGAUAGCAAUAUUGGGUGGCGACCGGCAAACGGGUGCGGAACACGUACACAACCUUCCUUUUGGUGGGGGAUAGCCUUUGGAAACGGAGAUUAAUACCCCAUAAGAUAUUGGGACCGCAUGGUUUUGAUAUUAAAGAUUUAUUGCCAGAAGAUGGGUGUGCGUAUGAUUAGGUAGUUGGUGAGGUAAAGGCUCACCAAGCCGACGAUCAUUAACUGGUGUGAGCGCACGACCAGUAACAAGGGCACUGAGACACGGGCCAGACUCCUACGGGAGGCAGCAGUAAGGAAUAUUGGUUAAUGGACGGAAGUCUGAACCAGCCAUGCCGCGUGGAGGAUGAAGGUCCUCUGGAUUGUAAACUUCUUUUAUAUGGGGCGAAAAAGGGCCAUUCUUGGUCAACUGACGGUACCAUAUGAAUAAGCACCGGCUAACUCCGUGCCAGCCGCCGCCGUAACAC